GAUGAAGAACGCAGUGAAAUGCGAUAAGUAAUGUGAAUUGCAGAACUCAGUGAAUCAUCGAAUCUUUGAACGCACAUUGCGCCCCCUGGCCUUCCGGGGGGCAUGCCUGUUCGAGCGUCAUUUCUGCCCUCCAGCCCGGCUGGGUGUUGGGCGCUGUCCCCCCGGGGACACGCCCCAAAGGCAGUGGCGGCGCCGCGUCGGGUCCUCGAGCGUAUGGGGCUUUGUCACCCGCUCGGGACGGACUCGUCGGCGCUGGUCUUCCUCCAGGCGACCCUUCGGGGCUCGUCUUCCUUCGGUUGACCUCGGAUCAGGUAGGGUUACCCGCUGAACUUAAGCAUAUCAAUAAGCGGAGGA
rnacentral:misc_RNA from 1 species